rfam:Triticum urartu cultivar G1812 contig21440, whole genome shotgun sequence.
UUCGUACUCCCUCCGUCCGGAAAUACUUGUCAUCAAGAUGAAUAAAAGGGGAUGUAUCUAGAUGUAUUUUAGUUCUAGAUACACCCAUUUUUAUCCAUUUUGAUGACAAGUAUUUCCGGACGGAGGGGUUAUCAU